CAAAUAAUUUCUUCAGUUGAAUAAUCAAUUGCCAUUCAUCGCGAGAAACCUCGUCUCUGAAAGCAGGGUCUUUCAAAGAAUCGAUACUUUGACGAGUGAUGUGAGAAUAAAGAGCAUCACUUUCUGUAACUUGACGGCCAAAAAGUAUUUGAGAGCCAGACGAUUCAAGCUUCAUUGCCACUCCUGCACCUGCUUGACCUUUCUUAACUUUAUCUACAGGCUUAUGAUUCAUUUCAAGGCUUGCGACACGACCUAGUUCGAUGAUUUGAGGUUCUCCAUUGGGAAGCUGCUUCACAGCAACAAUAGGGGUAUUUAUACGAAGAACACCUUCAACAACAUCAACACCAAGAAUGAUAGGGUCUCGUUUGUUGAAAGCAGCAACUGUCUUCAAUACACAAGGAAACACUGCAACAUCAGAACUUUCUUCACGUUUCUGCUCAAGGAUCUUCUUUUGGUGAGCCGUGAACGCAUCAAACAAAUGAUAGAUGACAUUAGCAGAAAAUAUUUUGACACCAAGCUGUUCAGCCAAGUCUUCAGCAUCUCGGUCUACUUUUACAUCAAAGCAUAACAUCAAUGCAUAUUCCUUAGCUUUCUCCAGCAUAGUAGCACAGCGCAUUACAUCCUUUUUGUACACUGGACCAAUGUUGACUGAAGCAACGGGAAUUUUCAUUUGUUUGAGGAACUCAAGUAGUGCUUCUAAGGAUCCUAAUGUUGAAGCUUGAACAGAAACACCAAUACCAGAUGUAUCAAUUCUUCCCAGAAGAUUUUCAAGGUCUUCCAUGAUCUCUUCUGCCAAAUCUUCUUCAUCGUCAUCAGGUCCGACGACUAACAAACGAGAUCCUGCUACAGCCUUUUCAAGGUCAUUAGCACAAAUUUUUACACCCAUUGCGGCUUUAAUUUCUUUAUGAUGAACAUAAGCUGAUUUAACUCUCAUUUCCUUUAAAGGUUGAGGUGUCAGAAGAGCUCGAACGGUCGUAAUGAUAGGUCCACCCAUUCCACAAAGAACAAUUCGAUCACCUUCGUGUAGGACACCGUUUGACAAAAUAACAUCAAUAGUAGCACCAAGGCCCUCAAUGACUUUAACCUCCAACACGGUACAUUCGAGAGUAGUAAUGUAUUUGAUACGGUCUGACAUACGAGUCUGCGUUAACGAAAUUAAAAGAGCAACUAAAUCAGGAACACCCUCACCGCUCUGUGCAGAAGUUGGAACAAGAGAAACGUAACGACCCAAAUUUUUAUUUUCGAAGUACAAUGCGGCGUUUAAACCUUGUUCGUUUAAUUGUAAGAUAAUACUUUCAACACGAUCUCUGAAUUCCCUCUGGAUAGCCUUCUUCUGUUUAGACAGUGAAUCUUGGAUUGCGUUGUCCUUUAUGGAAUGCCAACCGUAAAGACGAUCAACUUUAUUCAAAGCAACAACGAAUGGUGUCUUUUGAUCGCGUAGUAGUCGAAUUGACUCGAUUGUUUGAGGCUCUAAACCAUGCAUAAUAUCAAUCACUAAAAUGGCAAUGUUGCAGAGUGAAGUACCACGAGAACGAAGGUUGGUAAACGAUUCGUGACCAGGUGUAUCAAUGAUGAGCAGACCAGGUAUAUUGUAU